GGAGAAAAAGGCAGAAAUAGCUGCUGACCAAGAGCUGGCUGGUCUAAGGGCCGGUGAGUGGGGGCCAGGAGGCAGCGGUGACCUGAACCGAUGGGAAGCUGGGCUUGGCCUGGCUGGGCCCCCCAGGGGGCAGAGCCCCAGCCAGCCUGGAUACUACUGUGGAAACUUGCAGCACUGUGACCCACCAGGCUGGAGGGUACUGCACACUGGAGGACGAGGGCAGAGGUGUCCUCUCUAUUCCUCAACCCUGCAGACUCAACCUCCAAAGCCUGCCACCAGAAGCUGAGGCUGGUGGGGAAGCUGGGCACUGACCCUGCUGCUGCCACGAUCAUGUCAAGCCCUCCCUCCGCUCCCCAGUGGGCCAGAGAUGAGUGGGUAGCAUCUCAGUGCAGCGGCAAGAAUAGACAAUAACCACAAGGAUAUUGGGAAAAUAUAUUUUAAAUUCAUCAAUUGCUCAAGUCAAGUACUUUUCUUUUUCUUUCCAGUUAUAAAUCUAGAAGGGGGAAAAACGGAGAGAAAGAACAAAAAGAAAAAAGAAAAGCGAUCCACAGAGAGAAAGGCAGAGCCUCGCUGAAGCUCCAGCUGGAAAGGCAAGCCAGCAGGCUGACCCUGCAGGAGGCUGGCCACUCUAGCCCAGGGCUGCUCACUCAGACUUAACCUCAUGGGGCAAAAACUGGAGGUCCUUUAGUAAUUAAGUAAUUUCAAGGAUUUUUUUUUUAAAAAGAAAAUGCAUUUUUUUCUUUUUGACGGCCUUCCCUUUCAACAUUUUCCCUUCUAGCCCUGUCGUUGCCAUCCGUUUUAAUCCACAAACUAAUUGUAAUCCCAUUAAGGCAGAUAUAAUUUUAUUACUAUUCACGGUUCAUCAAGCUAAUAAUAAUAACUGUUACUGCCAAACUGAAAAAUAAAAGCAGCAAAUAAUAUUUCUGAUGUUUAGAAUAAACUGUAAACAAAAGCAAGCCGACCUGCGAGGGUGACCCAGCAGGUCCACGCGCAGUCCCUCAGGCUCCCCCAGCUCCGCCCACGCUGGUCAGUGAUUUCCCCGCCAGCUGCGGCUUCGCUCCAGAGACUGGGUCAGCACUACCAAGGACAGACCCUCCGGGAAGGGGACAUGAGUCGGCCGCAACACGGGGGCGUACCCGGAAUGAUCAGAAUAACUCAGGGUCUCUGGUCUUGAAGCUAAAGCGUACGGACUCGCCUGCACCGAAAUCCCGAGCGGGGCGCCGCUCUGAGUUCCCGCGGUGCGGGAUGCGCGGUCCGCACUCGGGCCACGCUUAGCCCGGCGUUAGCAGGAUACCAGAGGCACUUGUUAAAGCGCAUGCAUCCCCUGCAAACCCAUUCUCGCCCUGACACUUCAAGGCUUUAUAUAGAAACAGGAUUUUCUCGUCUUACACUAGCAGUUCCCAUUAGCGCUCCCCGGGCGCACACUGCUCUCUAAUCCGCGGGCCGGGCGCGCCCUGGCCCCCUCCCCCAGCCACACAGUCGUUCUGUCCCUGCAGAAAGCGCCACGGUGUCUCAGACGCUGAACGUCUUAACGAGUCCAUUCUUUUGAAUGUCGUCCCCUACUCAGCCCCAGUGGGACCGCCCCCCCCCCCCCCCAGCAUUGUACCACAACCCCAGACUAGCGUCCGGGAGCUCCGAGCGCCCCUCGCCCGCCACCGGCAUCACCUGGGCCGCUACGCCGCAGUGCCUGGCCUGCUGUCCCCAAGCCCGGAGCUUCCCACGCCUGCCCGGGAUCACCUAACCAAGGCUGGUCUCCGCGUGGCACCUGGGUCGACCCUGCAGGGAAGGAGCACCGACCAAGCACAGCUCAGCCUUCUCCUGCGUCUGGUCCCGGCAGACCCGGGUCCUCGGGUCUUCCAUCCCCAUCUCCGGCAGGGCUGGCUUAAAAUGACCCUCCUCUCCCUUUUCUUCUACCCCUCCCAUCGCGGAAGUCUGCUCCCGGGCGAAAUCGGAGACAAUUUCAAACUCUGAGAGGAGCAACCGAGCAAGCGAAACAAACUGUACACCAUCAUGCACGUGCGACCAAAGUCUCUCGGCCCUCCUCCAUUUCGAAUACUUCUCUCCUUAUUUUCGAAAUACCCAUUGUUUUAAUACUUCGUCUCAGUUCCAAUACAACGGAGAUAUUCUCGACUGUGAACUUUGCAGACAGUCAAAACCUUUUUUUUUAAAAGCCAUCCACCGUGACAACAAAGCGAUUAAGAUGUUUUCUAUUUCGUAAAUACCAUUUAAAAUUGCUAUAUUUUAUGCUCUGGGUUCUACACUGUCUUAUUUGCACACUAUUUUGUGUCUGAUUUAAUCUAUAACCGAAAACAUAAUGUAUUAAGUGAAUACAUAUUUGCUCAGCUGAUAAGCUUUUUUAAUAUUUAUUCGGAGAAUUUUGCAUUGUAAAUAAACGAGACUACACAAAGA